AACGAACGCUGGCGGCAUGCCUAACACAUGCAAGUCGAACGAGACCUUCGGGUCUAGUGGCGCACGGGUGCGUAACGCGUGGGAAUCUGCCCUUGGGUUCGGAAUAACUUCGGGAAACUGAAGCUAAUACCGGAUGAUGACGUAAGUCCAAAGAUUUAUCGCCCAAGGAUGAGCCCGCGUAGGAUUAGCUAGUUGGUGAGGUAAAGGCUCACCAAGGCGACGAUCCUUAGCUGGUCUGAGAGGAUGAUCAGCCACACUGGGACUGAGACACGGCCCAGACUCCUACGGAGGCAGCAGUGGGAAUAUUGGACAAUGGGCGAAAGCCUGAUCCAGCAAUGCCGCGUGAGUGAUGAAGGCCUUAGGGUUGUAAAGCUCUUUACCCGGGAUGAUAAUGACAGUACCGGGAGAAUAAGCUCCGGCUAACUCCGUGCCAGCAGCCGCGGUAAAGUGACUACUG
rnacentral:rRNA from 1 species